rnacentral:rRNA from 1 species
UACGUAGGGUGCGAGCGUUGUCCGGAAUUAUUGGGCGUAAAGCGCGCGCAGGCGGUCCUUUAAGUCUGAUGUGAAAGCCCACGGCUCAACCGUGGAGGGUCAUUGGAAACUGGGGGACUUGAGUGCAGAAGAGGAGAGCGGAAUUCCACGUGUAGCGGAUGAAUGCGUAGAGAUGUGGAGGAACACCAGUGGCGAAGGCGGCUCACUGGCCCGGUACUGACGCUGAGGUGCGAAAGCGUGGGGAGCAAACAGG